GACGAGCUCUCCAAACGUUAUUCGGUAUUACUGGGCUUAAAGAGUUCGUAGGCGGCUUUGUAGGUGGGGUGUGAAAGCCCUCGGCUUAACCGAGGAACUGCGCCCCAAACCACAGGGCUUGAGGGGUAUAGGGGUAAGCGGAACAGAUGGUGGAGCGGUGAAAUGCAUUGAUAUCAUCUGGAACACCGGUGGCGAAGGCGGCUUACUGGAUACUUUCUGACGCUGAGGAACGAAAGCUAGGGUAGCGAACGGG
rnacentral:ncRNA from 2 species